CGCUGAUGUUUCCACCACAGAAACAGCCAUUGGUGAUACCGCCCCUCAGCCUGAGUCUGCCAUGCCGGUCUUUUCAUCACUCAAUGAUAAAGCUGCUCCAGCUCAUUCUAGAGAUCACAUUGACCACUGUGAUGCUAAAGUGCUGGAGCCAGACUCACCUCAGCUGCCGGGGAAGUCAAUCCUUCCCUCAGCCCCCUCCUGGGCUGACACCCCACCUUCGCCCAAAAAAGGGGAUGAAGAUAUGGAGCCAGGCAUCAGCUGUGCCAGUGCCGUAACCCCAUCUGCAAAGCCAGAGCCUCUGGCACCAACUGCUCAGCCCAGGACCUAUGGCCGAAAGCACACCCGAGGCAGGAGAAGAAUGCACUCUGGUUCAAGGCUGAGACGACAGCUAAGUCUGGAGACAGAGAAAGAAAAGGGAGAGGAGUCAAUGCCAGCUUCACAAAAACCCUGUAUGCCCACAAGCAAAUCGGAGCUGAUUUCAGUUCAAACAGAUCUUUUGCAUCCAGAGUCAAUAGUAAGUCCAGUGGCUAAAAUAAUAUCUGAUGUAUUUUCCUCAAGAAUGUGCACGCGCUCAUUCAAUGCUCCAGAGUUACCGCCCAAAGACAAACCUCUGAAAAGAAAGCCAGGCCCCAAACCAGGAACAAAACCUGGGCCAAAGCCAGCUGCAAAAGCAGCAGAAAAGGCAGGGGCAAAAGCCGCCAACAAACCUGCCCUGAAACCAUUGCCUAAACCUACACUAAAACCAGGACCAGCACCAACAGAACCAGAGAUCCCAUCAAAAAGUGAGAUCGAGGUGAAACAAAACAUUGGACUAAAGCCACGUGCAAAACCUGGUCCCAAACCUGUAUUAAAAACUACCCCUAAACUAGAACAGACUCCCGAAGUCACUCUUUCAGCCGCCGAAACUCCUCCUUCUAAGUCCACAGACGUGCCCCCUAAGGCCUCAGUGGGCCGUCCAAAAGGCUCAGGGUCCAAAGCCAAGAACAUACAGGAGGUGGCCCCGUCUUCCGAGGGCAUGCAGAGCAGAAGAAAGAGGGCUCUUCUUGAGGCAGCAUCAGCAGAAAAUCAAGAGGUAAAAUCGGUAAAUGUUGAAGAGAAAGGAGAAGUAAAAGCAGCACAAAGAGCAACGAAAAAUAUGGUCUUGAGAUCCAGAAAGCCGUUGCAGGAUAAAGCCACAAAAGACAAAAUAAAUGAGGAAACCGUUGCAGCAAAGCCGUCAGCAGACUCAAGAAUUGAUGUGAAAGUGCAAGAGAUUGUUGUGGAAGAGCAAACGAGUCCCCUCUCUGAAAUUAAAAACACAGAGGCCCCUGCUGAAUUACCUGAUCCACCUAAACCUACAGACUCACCCCCGGACAUCCAAACAGAGAACAGUGCUUCAGUAAAACGAAAAACCAGUAGCCCACCACCUGCUUCUGUCCCGGCAAAGAAAAAACGGGGUCCUAAGCCCAAACCAAAAC
rnacentral:lncRNA from 1 species